GGUACGGGGGGGGCAAGCGUUGUUCGGAAUUACUGGGCGUAAAGGGCUCGUAGGCGGCCAACUAAGUCAGACGUGAAAUCCCUCGGCUUAACCGGGGAACUGCGUCUGAUACUGGUUGGCUUGAAUCCGGGAGAGGGAUGUGGAAUUCCAGGUGUAGCGGUGAAAUGCGUAGAUAUCUGGAGGAACACCGGUGGCGAAGGCGGCAUCCUGGACCGGUAUUGACGCUGAGGAGCGAAAGCCAGGGGAGCAAACGGG
rnacentral:rRNA from 1 species